rnacentral:rRNA from 1 species
UUAAGCGACUAAGCGUACACGGUGGAUGCCCUGGCAGUCAGAGGCGAUGAAGGACGUGCUAAUCUGCGAAAAGCGUCGGUAAGGUGAUAUGAACCGUUACAGCCGGCGAUGUCCGAAUGGGGAAACCCAGUGCAAUUCGUUGCACUAUCGUUAACUGAAUACAUAGGUUAACGAGGCGAACCGGGGGAACUGAAACAUCUAAGUACCCCGAGGAAAAGAAAUCAACCGAGAUUCCCCCAGUAGCGGCGAGCGAACGGGGAGCAGCCCGGAGUCUGAAUCAGCUUGUGUGUUAGUGGAAGCGUCUGGAAAGUCGCAGGGUACAGGGUGAUACUCCCGUACACUAAAACACACAGGCUGUGAACUCGAAGAGUAGGGCGGGACACGUGGUAUCCUGUCUGAAUAUGGGGGGACCAUCCUCCAAGGCUAAAUACUCCUGACUGACCGAUAGUGAACCAGUACCGUGAGGGAAAGGCGAAAAGAACCCCGGCGAGGGGAGUGAAAAAGAACCUGAAACCGUGUACGUACAAGCAGUAGGAGCCCACUAGUUGGGUGACUGCGUACCUUUUGUAUAAUGGGUCAGCGACUUAUAUUCUGUAGCAAGGUUAACCG